AUUGAACGCUGGCGGCAUGCUUUACACACGCAAGUCGAACGGCAGCGCGGGCUUCGGCCUGGCGGCGAGUGGCGAACGGGUGAGUAAUGCAUCGGAACGUGCCCAGUAGUGGGGGAUAGCCCGGCGAAAGCCGGAUUAAUACCGCAUACGACCUGAGGGGGAAAGCGGGGGACCGAAAGGCCUCGCGCUAUUGGAGCGGCCGAUGUCGGAUUAGCUAGUUGGUGGGGUAAAGGCUUACCAAGGCGACGAUCCGUAGCUGGUCUGAGAGGACGACCAGCCACACUGGGACUGAGACACGGCCCAGACUCCUACGGGAGGCAGCAGUGGGGAAUUUUGGACAAUGGGGGCAACCCUGAUCCAGCCAUGCCGCGUGCGGGAAGAAGGCCUUCGGGUUGUAAACCGCUGUUGUUCGGGAAGAAAUCCUCUGGGCUAAUACCCCGGGGGGAUGACGGUACCGGAAGAAUAAGCACCGGCUAACUACGUG
rnacentral:rRNA from 1 species